UUUUUUUUCUUUUUUUGACUAUACAAUGUCUCUAAAUUUGAACUGUACUUCAGAUUCAACUUUUAUCUAAGGACCUACAGAUCUUUUAUUUGUGAUUUUCCAACUAAAUCAAAUCAAAGAGGAGCAGCCGUCACAAAUGAUCAAAAACAAAAUGCACUUUUGCAGCCUGUUAUUUCUCCUGGUCUCAUUUGUUUUGCAUUUCAGUAAACAUUUACUGUGUCCCACUAAUAUAAUGCUAAAACCACGUGCAUGCUUUUGUCAGUUUGUUAUAGGAACUGAGGCAGGAGGGGGGGGUGGUCUUGUUAGAUUUAACUAGUACUCUUUUCCCUGUGUGGUGUAAUAGUAGAUGUGUUCAUUGGUACAAUUCCACAUCUGUUCCUGAUAAUGAUUGCUAUAAAAAAAUAAUGAGAUUUCCUCCUAAAACUAGAAUUAGACUGUUCCUUUUCCAAAGCAACCAUUCUGCCAGUGAACUAAAGGAAAGUUAUGUACAGUAUUGAUUUAUUUUAAUGGGACAUUUACCUAAUAUCAAAUUACAAUGAAAUUUCCUUUGGAUGUGUUUAUCUCAUUCACGUCAAUGAUAUGUACAUUCAUUAUUAUCACUGCUAUUAAUGUGAAUACCAAAUGAAUUUAUCAUAAAGUGCUUUAAGUACUACAUGCUUUAUGAGAUUAUCACUGGCUUCUUUUUUUUACCUUUCCAAGAAAUAAUGCUCUUGAGGGGGGAACCCCCAAAACAUGUAUUUCUCACUUUAAACCAGAUUCCAAAGGAAUAACACAGUACAUAUGUUAAAUCUCUGCCUUUGGGGAUCUGAAACUGAAGGCUGCAAGUUAAAUCUGUCCUUAGAUAGGUUUUGGCAUUAGAAUUUUAUUAAUUUGAAUGCCUUUAAGUUGUGCAUAUAUGCAUUCCACUGCCCUCUGAAGGCAUUUGAAUUAGUGGCCCUAUCUUUAAAGAAAACUGUUGUUAUAAAGCGUAUGACUUUGCAAAAUUAAUAAGUUUUACUUUGUUAAAAUCAAUGCUAGGCCUCUAUAGGUUCAUAGACUUAUUUAAUCCUCCUUGGUUUCUAAAUCAUUCAUUAGAACUUCAGAAGAACUACCUGGGAACAUAUAAGAGCUGUUUUUCCCUCCAUUUACUUAGAUUUAUUAAGAAAACAAAUUGAUGUUUCUCUGAUCAAAAGGAGGCUCUUGUCUAUGACCAUACUUGCUCUCAUUAAGUGGUCCUGGUAAUAGAUCGCAUGGAUUUAGGCAUAAAGUUCUUUUUACAUAAUUAGGAUAGUUUUAAAAACAUGUGUUAUUUCCUCAUGGACCAUAUUACACACAAUAAAAAAAACUGGCUCUUAAGUUAGAAUAUUUAAAGGAGACACAGAUCAUUUUUAUAUUCCAUAUUCUUCUUUCCAGAGGGCUUAUCAAUUUGAAGCCACACAAAUAUUUAUUCAAAAGCUAUUUGGUGGAUAUAAAAGAUGUAGCAACAGUAUAGAAAAAGCAACAAUGUGGUUUUUUUAGAAGCAAAAUGAUGUGUAAAUGGAGUUGAUUAUGUACUAGAAUGUUUGAUUAACAUUUCAUCUCAUUAUCUAAUCUCAUUGGCUCUGAAAAAUUGUAGUUUCUGUCGGUACUUGCCAUGUUUAUCAAUUUUUUCAUUCAUUGAGUCAUUAGUUGACUAAACAACUAUUUAUUUAGCACCUCCUAUCAGCCAGGAACUACACUAAGGGUUGUUCAUCAUUGGCUGCAGUAGAAGGAAUGGAUUGGAGAAGUUUAAGAGUAGAAGUAGAGAGACUAAGUAGGAGACAUCACUGUAGUUAAGGUGAGGGGAAAUAGUAGGGUGGAUUGGGAAAUCAGUGGUACAAAUAGAGAAAAGCUGAUGAAACCAAGUGAUAUUUGUGAGGUAAAUACAUAGGAUUUAGACAUUCACUAGAGAUGUGAAUGAAGGAAAAUAUAUCAACUGGGCAGUUAGAGAUGCUGGAUUGAAGCCCAGUGGAAAAAUUGGGAUUGAAAAUCAAAUUGAGAUAAUUAUUGGCAGAGCUAAGUCUAAAAUUUCUGAUAUGGGUUUGGCUCUGAAUGUGGUUGAAUUCUGCAUUUUCAUGGAAAAUAUUAUGGGUAACCUCAAAGGUAGCAUUCAUAAUCCAAACAUACUUUAGGACUCUCUCAGUAUUUGCAUGACAAUUGCUACAUAGAAAGCAAGAGGAGUAAUGUUAUGAUUGAGCCUUGCUAUAUCUUGAGACUGAAACAUUUUCUUCUCAUCUGCUGGCAAAGACAUCGAUCUCAUUAUAUGCAUAACGUAGAAGGCUGAGAGGCAGUAGAAUUCCCCACUUUAAAAUAAUAAAGGUUCCCACUGUGGCACAGUGGGUUAAUGACCUGGCUUGUCUUUGUCACAUUGCCAGUUCAAUCCCUGGCACUGUGCAACGGGUUAAGGAUCGGCAUUACUGCAGCUGUGGCACAGGCCGCAGCUACAGCUUGGAUUCAGUCCCUGGCCUGGGAUCUUCCGUAUGCCACAGGAGCAGACAAAAAAGGAAAAAAAAAUAAUAGAAUAUCACUCUCAUGAGGCUGCUUGUAUCUACUUACCUUUUACCCACUCACUGUUAAAAAUCACUGGGCAAAGAUAAAUUAAAAAAUAUAUUCAUGUUGGCUCUUAAAGAAAUCAGGAAUAAAAUUUUUCCCUUAACAAACUCAUUUUCUGUACUCAAAGGAAUUCUAUGUGUUUUAACUGUAGCAUAAUCUGUAAGUGGCUAUUUAAAAUAGGUAAAUUGUUUAAUGCUGGUAAGUAUUCUCUUCAAAAUGAUUCAUUCCAAUAAAGAGCUAGGUAACUAUUUUGUAUCUGAUGCCUUAACAAUGAUAAAUAAGUUUAUAUUUUCCUGUCAAUCCUCAAUUUCAUGGAAGACAGAAAAGCAAGCAAAUAACCAUAUACACUGCUGUACUAUAAUGCAGCUAUGAAGAUGCUAUGCAAAUAAGACCAAAUACUUGAGUGAUUAUGUAUGAUCGUAUGUAUAUACAUAAAUGUAUCUGAGUUUGGGGAGAUGAUCAGGAAAAAAAAACAAAGAGGUUAUUGUAUUUAAGAUUAUAAAAGACUGAGGAUACUGGACAUGGUGCUGGGUACCACUUACCUUAAAAACUGUUCAAGAAAUACACUGAAAAAUUGAUCAUAAAACUAGGCAAGAUAUUACAGUACUCUUAAAUGGUUUCCCAAUAAAGGUAAAAAGUAAAAUUCUGAGAUAGAUACAACAUCUUGGUAUGGAAGAGAGACAUUAAAAAAUACUUGUGUUUUAGCAAAGUUUCAUAUCUUAUCACAAAUAACAAGUUACCAAAGUAAGGUUUAGUUUCUCAGGCUCUUGAGAAUGGAAAAGCCCAGAACUAAGAUAAAGAGGGAUAAAAGCAGAGGUGUGUAACAUAAAUUAAUCAAUUUUAAACAUUUAGCUUAGAUUACAGAACCCCCAAGAUAUCUACUAACAAUCCACCUCUAAGCACAAAUUGGGGAUCACUAAGCCUUAUAUGUCCCUCUCACCAAGUUACACAGGCAUUAAACACAAGCUACCUUGUUUUUUAAAGCCUUAAUUUCUGAGGUUAGCUUUCUUAUUUUACAACUCAUUAUGUGUUUUAUGGUAAUGCUUCUCUCCUUCAUGGAGUUAAAUGAGAAGAUGAUAAAAAAAAUUGUGUUUCUCUUGUUGACUUGACAUAUCCUCUGGAAAUCAGACAAAUCAGGCAUGAGAAUGGAUUUUGUUUCUAUUAUUAGCAUAUUUGAACAGUGUCAACAAUUCAUACCUAUUAAAUUAUGUACAAACCAGAAGAACCUAAGAAUAAAACAGUUACAGAGAGGACUAAAACAAACCUUCUCUUAAAACUUCUAUAAAUACUCAUGCGAAUCCCUAAAAGAUCAGAGAUAGUUGUAAAAAGAGGUGAAAAACAAUUAUACUGGUUUUGACCUGCUUAUAUAUAUAUAAUGAUAAAGAUUCAAUUAACAAAUGUGAAUGUUUUCUGAUUUUUUUAUGUCUAGUGAAGCUUCCUUAACCACUACUUAGCAUUUCAGCACAUUUCCAUUUGACUUAAACCUCAAAGAAAACAUUUCGAAGCCAAUAUUAACAUUAUUUUGAAAUUGGUUUCUCUUGUCGACUUUACUAUAUAUUUGAAUGGCAUCUGUAUUCUCCCAAUUAACAGGCUGAAUACUGCUAGUUCACCUAUGUUUUAUCCAUUUCUUUCUUUUCCCCAAUUUACAUCCUGCUGAUCCUAACUGUUGUACUUCUUGCUCAGUUGAUUCCAUUAUUGUUACUUCCCCUCCUCCCCUGGUUGUUCACUACAUGUCACCUAUGUUAGUGAUACUUUCUCCUAACUAUUUCCCUUCACUGCUUCUCACACAAAAACAUCAUACAUAGUCUUUCCAGAUUAAUCCUCCUGAUGGACAGCUCUGGUGGUUGAUUUCCUGCUCAAACAUACAUACUGAAUCCUCAGUACCUGUUUGAUGAAGCCCAAGUAGCUUAGGUAACAUUCAGAAACUCAGAGGAACCAAGGAGAAAUACUUCUAGUCUUAUAAAACAGACUUUGCAAUUUUUCAUCCAUGGACAACUCAGAGUGAUUUCUUGGUCAUUCCCUACCCCCUUCCCAUUCUCUUUCCUCCAUCACUAAUGCUCUCAUUUCUACUUGUACAAUACUUUCAUUCAAGUCCACUAGACUAUGAGCUCCAAGAGGCAGAACCAUCACUGUUUUUCUCACUCUAGUGCCUAGCAAAGUGUCUGCCACAUGGUAGUGCUCAAAACAUAUUUGUUUAAAGGAUAAAUGAAGACACAUCCAAAUACUAUCACACUUAUGAAUAAUAUUUCAACUAAAAGUAAUCUAUCCUGUAAAACUCUACCGCCUAUCAAUUGUAGGAUGUAUUUAAUAGUCUAUAUAAAAUUAAAUAUCCUUAUUUUGAGUGCAAGUUUAUGAGUUUAUUUACUGCAAGGCCAUUGUUUUCUUUAUGUUUGAAUUUUUCACCUUGAUAAUCAAUAUAAGUUUGUUGAUUACAUGACUAAUGAAUAAGCACAUGUAUGGUAAACAUAAUGAUUAAAUUGUAUUUCUGUAUUUUUAAAUACCUAGUAGGUUUCUAACCAAAAACUUAGUGCUGUUGGCUCUGAAGAGACAAUCUUUAGCAGCUGGCCAAAGAAAAUUAAAAUGUUUGACAGUUUGUAUUAGUGACAGCAAUGUUCAUGGAGCAGUGCAAGGCAAUGCACUGUUGCCCAAGCAGCAAUACUGCUUUGCGAGAGAGUCUUCGGAGAAAAUAAAAAGAAACAAGGUAGGGAAAUGUCUCUCACUUCCUAUUUCCAAGUUAUGCCAGUGAUUUCAAAAUAAUAUAUCCUUCACACAAUUAAGAAGAAAGGCAAAUGAUCUCCAUUCAUGAAUGCCCAGUGAAUACAUAAAAAGAUAUUCAAUAUUUUUAAUCAUCACAAAAAACAAAUGAAAACCACAAGAUACUAUCUUGUAUCCUAUAAAGUGGCAAAAAUUAAAAGAUCUAUUAAGAUACAAUAUUGGUGGUAUAGAGAGCAAAUGGAAUUUUCCACUAUCACUGGCAGGAGUGUAAAAUGGCACAACCACUUUAGAAAAGUGUUUGCAGUAUCUUAUCCAUUUAAACAUUUGACCCAGCCAUUCCACUCCUAGGUACUUACCCCAAAGAAAUGAAAACAUGUGCUCAGAAAAAGACUUGUACACAAACAAUCAUUGUGUCUUAAUUCAUAAUAUCUCUAGACUGAAAAUAGCCUGAAUGUCCAUCAGUGGGAGAACAGACAAAUUGUGAUGUAUUUAUACAAUGGAAUAUUAACCAGCAAUAAAAAGGAAUAAACUAUUGAUAUACUCACAACAUGGAUAAAUUUCAAAAGUAGUAUGCUGAUUGAAAUGCCACAUAUUACACAAUUCCUUUCACAUAGAUUCAAGAACUGACAAAACAAAACUAUGGUGAUAGAAAUUGUAACAAUAGGUGCUAUAGGGAGUAGGAACUGACCAAAUGGUGGGAUGAGGCAAUGGAAAUGUUCAUUUUUUUUUGCUGAGGUAUUGGUUUUAUGAGUAGAAUCACCUGACAAACUUAAAGUGAACACAGUAUCUAUGUGUUUCCUGGUUCUCGGGAUAUCCUUCUAUAUUUCCUCAUCUACUUGAUGCAGUCAUAGAGAACAAGAAAGCAUAGAAAGUAAAUUGCAUGGCAGAAGAUGAAUUCUAAAUGAAGUAUCUUAAGAGGCUGAAAGGAAGAAUUAAAUUUAAUAGUUUCAAAUUUUAUAUAAGAACAAACUCUUUCUUCCCUUCCAAAUAUUUCACUUCUAUUAAGAAAUAAGAACAAUAUCACUUUCAAGGGCUUAUCUCUCCUCACUUAAACACUAUCUCAACCAUGUCAAGAAUGAACAUUUCAAACUAAUUUAACUUCUUUCUCUCCCGCUCUGUAAAGUACAGAAAAGAACUAAGCAAGAAAAGAACUAAGACAGGCUGAUUGCCAAAUAUCACUCAUAUGAAGACAGAAUCUGAAAGAAUUCAGAAGACUUAAUUAGGUUAUAUGGGGAAAGACUUAGUGAACCAUCAGGGAUGUUAUACAAUUUACUCUACAUAUGAUGAUUGAUUUGGACAAGUAAAGUGGCAUCCAUCCUUCAGGAAAGUGUAUUUAUACAUGUGGUGUGUUUAUUAGAUUAAGAAGAGGGAAAAUAAACCAUAGUGAACUCGUGAUUAGCAUUGAGAACUAUGUCUAGAUACUCAUGUCGCAACAGAAGAAAGGGUGGGGGAAAAAACUGUAACUGCAAUGUAUACAUCUAAGGAUAACCUGACCCCCUUGCUGUACAGUGGGAAAAUAAAAAAAAAAUUAAAAAAAAAUAAAUAAAUUUUGAAAGAGAAAAUGGCUCAAGAAGCUUGUGAAGCUUUUAAGAAUCACAACAUAAUCACAAAUAAUCACAGAGUUCUUUAAAAAUAGUGUAAUGUUUAACAAGAUGGAUGCCAGCAC
rnacentral:lncRNA from 1 species